AAUGACACGAUCACUCCCGCUGAGCGAGCAGCCAGGAGCCACCGGGAAUGUCGUGUCCGCCC
rnacentral:pre_miRNA from 1 species